rnacentral:rRNA from 1 species
UACGGAAGGGGCAAGCGUUGUUCGGAAUCAUUGGGCGUAAAGGGCGCGCAGGUGGCUCUGUAUGUCUGCCGUGAAAGCAUACAGCUCAACUGUAUUGUGUCGGUAGAAACUGCAGGACUUGAGGCUGGGAGGGGCUGGUGGAAUUCCCUGCGUAGCGGUGAAAUGCGUAGAGAUGGGGGAGAACACUCGUGGCGAAGGCGGCCAGCUAGACCAGUUCUGACACUGAGGCGCGACAGCGUGGGGAGCAAACAGG